rnacentral:rRNA from 1 species
GACGAACGCUGGCGGCGUGCUUAACACAUGCAAGUCGAACGAGACCGCCGGGUCUUGUGGCGGAGGGGUGGGUGACGAGUGGGAAGCUACCCUUAGGUUAGGAAUAACUCCCCGAAAGGGGAGCUAAUACCGGAGAAGGUCAUCGGGGCUAGGAGUUUUCGGCUCGGGAUGGGCGCGGGGAGGAUUAGCUAGUUGGGAGGGGAAAAGCCUACCAAGGGGACGAUGCAUAGCUGGUCUGAGAGGAUGAUCUGGCACACUGGGACUGAGGCCCGGCCCAGACUCCGACGGGGGGCAGGGGUGGGGAAUAUUGGACACGGGGCCAAGGCCUGAUCCCGCAAUGCCGCGUGAGUGAUGAAGGCCUUAGGGUUGUAAGGCUCUUUUACCCGCGGUGAUAAUGACAGUACCGGGAGAAUAAGCUCCGGCUAACUACGUG